CCUUUGACAUUGCCGUCACCAUAGAGAACAACCUUGUCUCGUGGAGGAAAGAGUGUUCCCAUUUGAGAGAGGUUACCGGCGAAGUAGGCCGCGAAACAGUUGGCGGAGAUGUAAGUGAAAGGGAUGUUGGCAUCCUCAAUUGUUUUCCUUAUAGUCAUUUUCUCAUCAAAUGUGACUCUUCCUGGUUCAAGUGCGUGUCCCAUAAGAGCUGGGUCCAUUCCAAAUUCUGAAGGUAGGAAACGCUGGUGGAAGGGAAAAAAUAGUACAUAACCAUGUGAGACAGAAUAAAUUCAUUUUGUGUAUAUAUACUUACUACAAAACAAAAAAAAGUGAUUCAAGUCAAAGUUUGUAGGUGUAAUUAAGUAAAUAUAAACAACAUAUACCACUAUAGUAGCUUUCGAUAAAAUAAACAUACCGCUAACAACAUAUACUACAAAACUAUGUUUUAUACAUAAUAGUAUACUAUAAUCUAUGUGAUUCUAUAAAGCUAACUCUUUGCCACCAAAGCUAACAAACUCUAAUUACUAAUUUUGGUUAGACCUUUUUAGAACAAGUUUAUCCUUACUACUAGAAGAGAGUGUGUUGCUUUUUUUGUGAUGCUAGCUAGCACUCUUCAAAUAGUUAAAGAAAUGAUAUAUUAAUUAAAUUAAUAAGUAUUGUUAAAUAUAUAUAUAUAUAUAUAUAUAUAUAUAUAUAUAUAUAUAUAAUAAGUAUUGUUAAAAAAAAUUAAUAAGUAUUGUUAAAUAUAUAUAUAUAUAUAUAUAUAUAUAUAUAUAUAUAUAUAUAUAUAUAAUAAUUUAUGAUCCGAAUAACUCAGCAUUUUUAGGAAUAAUAAAAUUCAAUUUUGUGUGGAUUUUAAUUUUUUAGAUUAAUUUGGAUGAAUGUAAAUGUGAACACUUUGGAUUGUGGGCUAAAUAAAAGAAGGAAACCUCUAAUAUAUAUCCAAUUCAAAGAUGAAUCUCACUAUUUUUAAUAAAUUUUAUUAUGAUAUUAAAUUUAUUCUCCAUUUUGUAUUAACAUAAUAUUCAUUUGUUUUUAAAUGGUGAAGGUCCAUCUUAGUUUGGACCAUUUGUAAAAGGUCCAUGAUGAACCCAUAAGAGAAAUCAGUUUUUUUACGACAAAGAAAAAUAAAUCAAUUCUUAGUAUGAGAAAAGAAAAGUAAUACAAUAUCUAUGAUUUCAUAUGUGGUCAAAGGUAGGUGGAUCUAAAAUACCUCCAAGAAAGGGUCCACCUUUAAACCCUUACCAUUUUUAGAAAUUUUAAUAAAAUAUUACACUUUUUUUUUUUUUUUUAUAAAUUGUAAAAUUCAUUAUUUUACUAAAAAUAUUAAGGAUCAAUUUUUAUACCAUUUUUUUUAGAGGUAUUUAUUAGAAUAGCCCAAUAAACACCCACACAUGUUCUUUACCUUGAUCUUUCAAAAAAAAAAAAGUUCUUUACCUUGAUCAAUUAUUUGCUAAAAUUUUGUACAUGCAUAUUGCUAUUGUUGUGUGACAUUGAUUUUCAAGUAAAGUUCCCAUUCAUUACAAUACUUGAACUUGCGGCUUGAGCUAGCUAGGUACUAGGUAGAUUCAACCAUUUCAUCAAGGGACAGCUAAUGGUAAUUUGUUGUGUGGCUCAAAUUAAACAGAUGAAUAAUUUAACUCUUCCUAAACAAACAACUUAACUUCAUAAAAUAAAGUAAAUAUUUUUAACUUUUGAUAAUUUUUAUUUUUUUUAUAAAAUUAGUACUUCAACAUAUUCAACACUAUUUGGUAAAUUAUAUAUAUAUAUAUAUAUAUAUAUAUAUAUAUAUAUAUAUAUAUAUAUAUAUAUAUAGAUUAGAAUACGUAUAUUUUUUUGUGGUGGUCAGGGUUUAAACCCCAGAUCUUGCAUAUAUUAUACAUUGUCCAAACCAACUGAGCUAAGCUCACGAUGACGUAUCAUAAUAUGUAUAUAUAGAUAGGUUGAAGAUCUCAACUGAUUUAAACUAAGAGUAAUUUAAUAUUCCUAUGCAUCGACGCAUGAAAGACACAGAAAACUGAACCAUAUCAUAAUACGUUUAGAAAGGCAUCACAUGUGUGUAUUCUUGUUCUUCUUGUGAAAAUUCUGUCGCAAUAUAUAGCAGUACUCUUAAACUAAAGGCUUGAAAAAGUUUGAGGAACUAAAGGACUCGAAUUCAAACUCAAAUGAAAAAGGAAAAACAUUUACGUAACAACUAAUUACUGAUAUUUGUCUAAGAAAAAUGAUAUAGAUAUAUACCUUGACAUUCCCUGCAUCCUUGAUGGCUUCAAUAAGUUUGAGUUGCAACAUCAAGUUGUGAGAUCGAAAAUGAACUCCAGACAUGGUGCAAAUAACAACAUCAACUAGUUUCACAGCAUCUACCAAACUUUGAUGAUUAGAAAAAGAACCUUCCACAAGAUGAGCACCUAGUUUCUUGAAUGAAAGAAGCAUUUGCACUUUCUCAGUUUCAAGCCCUAUAUCUGGACGUUGAAGUACAUAGGUUUCAUGACCUUGUUCUAAACUUGCCUUCACUAUUCUCCUCCCAAUAUACCCAGUUCCCCCCACAACUAGAACCUUACUCUUUCCCAUUAUUGUUUUUCUCUCUUGUAGCCUUUAGUUUAAUUUAUCCUCAAUAUGGAUAUCAUGUGUCAAGCUAAGGCUAACUAUUUAUAACAUAAAAGAAUGUGACUUUUUGCCUCAAAAAUAAAAAAGGAUGUGACUUAUCUUAUACUCUAAUAUAGUACAGCCUUCAAAGCAAUAUAAUGGGGGAUUAUAUAUAUAAAUCAUUUCAUAUAUUUAUAUAUCAAUGUUUCUAGCUAUAAAUAUUUUCUGAUAAGUUAUCCAAUUUUUUUUUUGAACAAGCAAAAAUGAGACAUACUAUGUUAAAAAGCCACAAGUGACCUACCCUAUACAGGGGGUGCUAAAGCAGGACACAGAGUUAAUACAGAAUUUCCAAGAUAAAAAAUCAACACAACAAAUUAAAUCAACCAACAGAAAAAAAUUACAAAGUGAUACUCAUACAAGCUAAAGGGUUACGCCACCAAUCAUGAAAAACAAUAGCAAUAGAAGGAAUCUUUGCAUUUAACCACAAGAAAGAUUGCAACUUCACUUUGUCGAGCAUCUGAUGCAGACUCAUUUCUUUGUUGUUGAAGAUCCUAUUAUUUCUUUCCUUCUAAAUUUGUCCAAACGCACGAAAACCAUAUUAGCUUCAAGAAAGAGUGUGAUGAACGAGGGAAACCUGCUAUUUGACCAAACUACACGUAAUGAUCCUUUAUGACAGCAGUAUCAACCGAUGAAAAACAUAACCAAUUCUGAAUAAGAUACCACAAUCUUCCAAAGAAGUUACAACAUAAAAAAAGAUGGUGAGCCAGUCACACAAACAUUGUAAGUUGUAACCCACCUGAAACACCCCCGACGCACAAGAUUGUCUUUUGUCAGCAAUUGAUUGCGAAAUAAGCGUCAAACACAUAAAUUGACCUUUAAAGGAACGUGGUUAUCCAAUAUCUUAGUAUUAUUUGAAAAAGUUAAAUUACAAUUCAAUUUCAUGAAAAUUAUUAAUGUUAAACAAAUCUUUUUAAUAAUUUUUUUUGUUAACUAAUUUUUUGUUGAGAAGAUUAGAAUUUUAUUAUUUUAUAGUAAGAUAUUGCUUUAAUUCAAUUCGCCAAACAUAAAAAGUACACAAAACAAGGGUUUUGUCAAAGUUACUCUAUUAUAUAUAUAGUUGGUGGCAUAAGAUCAAAACAUCAUUUUAACAUUUUCUAUCACCUCUGUCAAAUUCGCCACCUUCUCAAUAAAAUGUACUAUGUUGCCAACUGAAUUAAAUGAUACAAAUUUUUAUUUAUUUUUUGCUUUAUUUCUUUUACCAACCCGUUGAAUGCCUAAAAAAUCCACCUGUUUUCUAGUCCACUCAUUUGGAUGUCAUUCCAACAACUUGAAAAUAGAGUGCCAAAAUACCAAUAACCUUGGACAUGUAAAGAACAAGUGGUUGUUUGUGAAUUUCCACCUCACACUUCACACAUCACAAAACAUUGUUGCUAAAUGUUUCUAAUUAUACCUCUUUGCCAUAAUUCAACCCGAGUUGGCAGCAACCUUCAACCGAAAAUAUUCACCUUUGAGGCUUCUCGAAAGUUGUAACAAUUUAAGCUCCACUCCCAUUUGUUAUUUAUCAACGAGCCAUUUUUUUUUCACUAUAGACCAAAUAGUGAUUUGGGAAUCUACGUUUCAAUUGCAGUCUUUCAAAAAAGAAAUACUACUACUGUUUUACGAUACCCUUUGAAUAGCAUGAGAGAACUAAUGAAACACAAAUUCGUCCACUUUUCCAAUAAUCUCCCCAUCAAGCCGCCACAAAGAGACAUGUUUUCCAAUACUCCCUCCGUCCCAAAUUGUAUGACACUUUAGAAAAAAAUUUAUCCUAAAUUAUAUGUCGUUUUACAAUACCAAUGAAAGAUUAAUGUUUCUUUUCCUAUUAUAUCCUUAACUAUUUAUUACACUCUCUUCUUUCAGUUUCUUCAUUUAUCUUUCUCAUAUCAUUUACUAAAGACAAUUUUGUAAAACAACUCAUAAUAUCUCUUUCCCACAAAAUAUUAAUUACAUUUCUUAAUAUGUGUGAAAUGCCCAAAACGUCAUACAAUUUGGGGCAGAUGAAAUAUUUAUUUCAACCAAACAAAAUAAUUUGGUUUGGAUAAACUUUUCAAUUUUGAUGGAUCUCAAUAACAUGUCAAAUAAUUUUUUAUUUGUAUAAAAUUUUAGAUGGAUUAUAUAUAUAAAUUUACAAUCUAACGUUGAAAUUUAAAAAAUAUAAAUAUAGAUUAAAACGAUAAUAGAGGUAUAUUAUUGAUGUCCAACUUCAUACUACUGAACUAUUUCUUUGAUGACUAAAGAUGAAUUUAUAGUGUUCCCGUAAGUUUAUUUCAGUUGGUAGGGACAUUGCAUAAAUUAUGUAGGGGCUGAGGUUCGAAUCCUUGACACCCCACUUCUGCAUAUUUAAUUGUGUGAGCUCCAACCACUAAGCUACUAGACAAAAAAAAUGAAUUUAUGGUUAUUUCUUUUUGUAUAUCCUUAUUUAUUAAUUUUUUUACGUCUACAACAAUUUAACCUAAUUUUUUCCCGCUCAUUUUCUUUAUUAGGUUUGCAAUUAUUUAACCUAACAAAUUCUAUCUAAAAAAAAAUGCAUUGCAUCAAUUUCAUUCCUAUCCUCUUGCUUUUUUUUUUUUUCGAAGAAAAUAUAUUAAUUUUGUUACGUCUGCAACAAUUUAACCUAAUUUUUUCCCGCACAUUUUCUUUAUUAGGUUUGCAAUUAUUUAACCUAACAAAUUCCAUCUAAAAAAAUGUAUCCCACCAAUUUCAUUCCUAUCCUCUUGCCUUUUUUUUUUAAGAAAAUAUUUUCUACACUUAUCCUUAUUUAUUAAUUUUGUUACGUCUGCAGCAAUUUAACCUAAUUUUUUUUCCGCUCAUUUGCUUUAUUAGGUUUGCAAUUAUUUAACCUAAAAAAUUCCAUCUAAAAAAAUGCAUCGCACCAAUUUCAUUCCUAUCUUCUUGCCUCUUUUUUUUUUUAAGAAAAUAUUCUACACUUAUUUGAUCAUGUCAUAAUACAAAUAUAAUAAUUUUUUUUUAAGUGAUACAUUUAUUUAUUAAACUAGUUGCAAGUAUAUGAUGUAUAUAAAUAAUAAAUAACGUAUAUGGAUGUUUUAAUCUUAAUAUAUUGAAUUUGUAUUAAAAAUUGAUAUAAAUCAUAAAUUUUAUUUUUAGAGGAAAUAAUAAUAUUCUUAAGUGUAUAUGUUUUAAAUAAGACACAUAUAAUAUGAGAAUGAAGCAGCAAUAUGAAGCAAUCUCUUUUAGGAAUUUCUUGACGUAACUUAGUUUUUUUUUUUGGUUAACGAUCUUGGAUGUGACUUAGUUGGUUGUUGAGACCAUGUGGAGCUGUCGCAUUUAAUAUUUAUAUUUGGACCAAGAGGGGAUGUGAUGAUAAAGCUAUACCAUGAAGAAAAUACGUGAUGUGGCAGGUGAUAAAAUGAAGAGGGGUAAACAUGGAUCAAUAAGGUAAAUAGGUUUAGUAGAAAAAAUUAAAUAGGUGAUGAAUACCGGAUUGGAAGCAGUAAAAAUGUAAGCUUAUAUGAUUAAUAAUUCUUCAUUUUGCCUUUAGAAGAAAAGCCAAUUUUGAAGUCUGUACUUAAAUAUUUGUUUAUUAUUUAAUAAUAUAUGGAUCAUGCUAAUUAGUAUUCUUAAGAUAUUGUUUAAGGAAUAGAUAAUAAAAAAUUUGUCUUAAUACAAGUCAAAUUAGUUUGUAACCAAAAAAAAGUCAAAUUAGUUUCAAAAUAACAAUUAAAUCAUUUUUUAUACAAAAGUUACUCUUUUUAAUUGUUUAAACAAUGUCAUGAUAACAAUUGUUAACAUUUUUCUAUUAAUAUAUUAACAUAUUAGAGUAUUAUAGUUUCAAGGUAAGCAUAUUUAAUUUAUUAGAAAAAGCCUAAGUACCACGUAGAAUAGAUAUAAGAUAAUUUAAAAUAAAUUUGUAGAGUAAUACUCAUCGUCUUAAAAGUUAUUUUCGUAAAAGUUGUGUAGAUCGGAAAUCACUUAUGUACUAUUGAGAUACCAAUGUUAUAUAUCAUUGGUCAAUGAAGGUGUGUCACAUAACACUUCAUUUGCAUAUCUUUUAUCUUUCUUCUUUAGACAUUUCUAUAUAGUACACCUUUAUUGACCAAUUUUAUAUAACAUUGAUAUCACAAUGGUACACAAGUGGUGUUAGAUCUAUCCAAAAUUCUAAGACAAGUAACUAGUUAUAGAUAGAAUAAAUUAAUAUUUAUCUAAAUAAAUAAAUAAAUACAUUGAUAACAUGUAUAUUUUUCCCCUAAAAUAAAAGAAAACUUGGAUCGAAGUCUAUUUUUUACGCAAGAUCGUGAAAGCCAGAACAAAUUAAAGUCCACAUAAAAGAAAACUUGGACCAAAUAAAGUCUAUUACCGAAAGAAGAAAAAGGAAGGGUAGCAUGCAUCACUUGAUAUUUGACAGGUUGAAAUUCGAAGUCAUGAGUUUUAUUCUUCAUUGACAAUUUUGAAGGUUUUUUUUUUUCUACUCAACAAUUUUGAAGAUAAGCAAGCAAUCAUCACAAAGAACUUUGAAUUCAUCAUGCAUCCAACCACUAUAAUAUUCAUCCUAUUAUCUUAGGUUUAAUUUAUUUGUAUGUAGAUAUGGUGAGGUGCGGUGGUGGUGUUUGUUUGGUAGUUAGGUGGGUCUUGUUUCUUCAUCAUUUUCUUUACAUGUGUGUGUUGUUAUAUCGUUAUGAUGACACCGGUUCAAACCAACUUCUAAGUAUUAUUAUUAUUACCACAAAAAAGAAAAACUCAACUUUGUCAACCCAUGAUGUCUCUUGAAAAAUGUUAGGUUAAAUUAUUUUUUUGUCCUUUAACUAUUUAAUUGGUAUCGGAUUGGUCCUCUAACUAAAAAUUGAUUUAUUUCGAUCCUCUAAGUUUCUUACUAUUACUACAUUUAGUCAUUUCUGUUAGUUUUAUUCCAAUAAACGUUAGGGUUUGUGUUAUGUAGGUCCUCUAACUUUAUUUAUUAGUAUCAUUUUGGUCCUAUGUCUUAACAAUUAUGAUUAAAUAUUGACUUAUAUUAUUGGUAACUGUUAUGGUUCAUAUGUAUGUGUAAAACAUGAGGUCAAAUAUCCACAUAACACAAACCCUAACGUUUAUUCGAAUAAAAUUAAUAGAAAGGACUAAAUGUAGUAACAGUGAGAAACUUAGAGGACCGAAAUAAAUCAAUUUUUAGUUAGAGGACCAAUCCGAUACCAAUUAAAUAAUUAAAGUUAAAAAAAGUAAUUAAACCAAAAGAUUAUUUAUAUCAUUUUCAUAAAUGUCAGAGUUUUUUGUUUGUAAUGUCACGUAGUUUGCAAAAUAUUUAUGCUUCAUAUAAUUCAUAUUCACACAAGGUAAUGUUUGUAGAUUACAUUUCAUAAAAACAAAAAAACAGUAGGUAAAUGUAGAUUACCAAAAAAUUUGUCUAUGAACAAGGUCCACCUCAAAAACUUGAAACUGUCUCCCACUAAAUCCUCUUUCUCUUUCUAUUUUCUGACACACCAACUCUUUCUCUCAUCUCUUUUUAUAUUUUUUAAAGAAAUGUCUCUCAUUUCUUUCAGGGUUUAAUUGCACUUUUCCCUCCUAUAGUUUGCCAAUUGUACAAUUUUGCAUCCUAUAAUUUUAAACGAGCAAUUUUGCCCCCUAUAGUUUUCCCCCUUCUCUCAAAAUCUGAAAAAUACCAUUUUUUUAUUUUUAAAAAAAAUGAAAUUACACACGUGGCAGACAUUAAUUGAUAAAAAACCAGCACUAAAUGUCAUGGGGACCAUAAAAUCAGAAAGAGGGAAAACUAUAGGGGGCAAAAUCGCUCAUUUAAAACAAUGGGGUGCAAAAUCGCACAAUUGGCAAAGUACAGAGGAAAAAAGUGCAAUUAAACCUUCUUUUAAUUAUUAUAAAAAAGUGCAAUUAAACCUUCUUUUAAUUAUUAUGUCUCUCAAGCACCUCCUUAUUUUCUCAAUCUUAUUUCCCCAUACUCAAUUUUUUUUAGUGGAAAUCUUUACAUGUUUGGUCACACAUUGGACUCCAUCAAACAUACUGAGUUUGCAGUCCUCAAACAUGUCUUUGUUCACUUUUCAACAUGUAUAUGGGUGUUUACAUGCUUUUAAUUGUAAGCAGCUUCAAAACUAAAGAACUUGUUACUUUUUGCGAUAAAUAUGUUAUUUAAUUUUCAUUCAACAACCAAUCUCUUAAUUAACAUUUUGAAUAAUUUCACAUAUCUAACGACAAUUCCUAAUGGAGAUCUCGAAGGAUGAUGUUUUUUUUUCCUAAUCAAAAUUUAGGAUGAACGGAUGAUGUCCUAGUCUAAAGUCGGGAAGAUCUUGAAAUUUAAAGAACACUUACAAAAAUAUUACCUCCAUAAGCAUGAGCGGAACUCAAAUCUAAAACCUCUUGAAUUUAAUAUCCGUCUUUUUAAUAUUAGACCAAACCUUUAAAGUUAAGGACGAUGUUUUUUAUUACAAAGGGAUUAUGAUGCUUUGUAAAUAUUGAAAUGGUUCCACAAUAUAAUUAUGAAGAUGCGUACUCUUUGCAAUAUAUAUUGGUGGGCUCAUGCAUAUAGUUGGUUGGUGAUAUUGUUUUUGGUUGAAAUACAGGACUCCAAGAAUCAUAUUUAACUUAUGCAAAAGAGAGAAAAUCAAUCAUGUGUAAUUUAUCUAAUAUUCAAAAUUGAUUUUCAAUUUAAAAUUAAUGAUAUAUUAAUUGUUUUUUAAUUAAUAAAACACACAUUCACCAUUGGUUUUGAUAGAUUUUAAAAAUGCUUUUCUUUGUUAAUUGAUUGAAAAAAGUUGUGAAUCAAUUCACUACAAUAUCAAAUAUUGUAACAUAAUGGCUAGCUUUUUAGCAGGAUUUUUGUUAUUUACGUUUUAGGUCAUUGUAUAUCAAUAAAAAAAAAUAAUGUUUAAUGGAAUGAGAGCUUGGUCAGUUUUAAGAAAAAUAGUUGGUGGUGUUAUUUUGUGUUGUUUGUGGCGAUGUUUUUCAAAUAUUUAUCUGUUUGUUGCGCACCAGGGUGUUUUUCUUUAUUUUAAUUUUGUUUUUGUGGUGGUUGGGGUUUGAACCCCCAGAUCUAACAUAUUUUAUGCAUUAUCCUUAUCAAUUGAGUUAAGCUCACGAGAACUUUCUUAAAAAAGGUGCAACACAAUGACUUUCUUUAUUUUAACAAGUGAUGAUACAUGUAGCGUUACUAUGAAUUUUUAUUUUUUAUUUUUUAAAUUUGCAACUUAAGUUUUUAUCUUCACUUUGACCCCCCAAAUUUAUGUCUUUCUUUAUUUUAAAAAGUGGUGCAUUUAGCGUUACUAUAAAUUUUCUUUUUAAUUUGCAACUUAAGCUUUUUUAUCCUCACUUUGACCCCCAAAUUUUUUGUUCCGACAUUGUGCACAGAAGAAACUAUUAUACAAAUAUAAUUAAAAGGAUGCACCGUACCAUUAUUGUGAGACGGGAGAGUAGUUUAUAAGCCUUUGCCCAUACCUAUGGUACCAAACCUCUCCUUUGAUGAGAAUAGUUCAAAUUAGCUUGACGAUCCUACUACGUAUAGAAGAUUAAUAGGUAGACUGUAGACUUAUGUAUCUCACUGUUUCGUUGAAUUAUAAGUCAAGCAUAAAUCCGUCUCUACAUAAUUCUUGAUUAUAUAUUAUUAUGAAUUGAUUUUCUUUUAUUUCCUUUCUAAAUAUGUGAAAUAUUAAUAUCUUAUAAAUAUUACAUGUGAAAUAUGUAUAUUUAGUUAUGAAAUAAAUUCAUUUGAUUUUGAUCUUACAUGUCAAACUUUGGAGACAUUGACCGUUUGUGCUGUCUAAUUAAUCUCUUGAAAAAUAUGUAUGAUUUAUAAAAUUUUAUCUAUUGGAUAAAUUUUUUAUGUAGUUCUUUUUAUUUAUAGAUGAAAAGAAAAAAAGAAGCUAAAAAGACUCAUACUAGGGUCGAAUAAACUCAACACCAAUUGCAUCUGCAAAGAGGAUAGAGGCCAUAUCAUAAGGGCUUCAUUCAAAAUAACAAGGCUAAUAUCACUAAGAGCGUCCUUUUAACCUAAAAAAAUCAGUUGCUGCGUUAUCUUCGCGCAAAGUAUAUCGUAAACUAACCACCAAAUCUCUACGAAGAAGCUGUUUAAUAGCCAUAAUUAAACCCAAUUUCCAUAUUUGUGAUGAACAUUCAAAUCUUUUUGGAUGAGGUAAACAACAGUAGUUGAAUCAGAGUGACACACCACAUGCUUAAAUUCAGUAUCCCAACACAACUUCAAACCAUGGUAUAAACCCAAAAUCUCAACAUGGAGAAUGCAAUAUAUGUAAAAUAUAAUCAAGUGUUUAGAAUAUUUAUUACAUAAUUUUAUCUGGAUAAAAAACUUUUAUUGUUCAUUAUUGAUUCAAUUAUGUUAGAACAACUAAAGAACAUUAUUAUCGUAAACCAUCAGUUUACAAAUAAUACUUCCUCCGUUUCACAAUAUUUGUCCAUUUUGAAGAAAUUACACAUACUAAUGAAUCAAAUAAAUGUUGUAAUUUUUUAUGAAAUUCUUUGUUUUUUUUCUAUAAUACCCUUACUCAUUUAUUAUUUCAUUCUAUUAUUUCUCUCUACAAUAAAUAGGUAAGAGUAUUAUUAAUAAACCAAUAAUUAAUAUUGCAUUAAAACCUGAAAGUGAUAAAUAAAGUGAAACAAAAUUAUUCUCUAAAAUAGACAAGUAUUAUGAAACGGAUGAAGUAUUAAAUUUUUUGUCGCAAGAUCGGUUGUGCUAUCUUAAAUUUAGUAUGAUAGAUAAACUAGUUAAUAUUCUAUCAAUAUGUGACAAGUCAGAGAUUAAAUUGAGUGAUAUUAUAUAUUUAGGGACUACCUUAAUUAUAAGAUUUACAUAAUUUAAGGACAAAAUUAGAGUUAGUGAUACUAUGGAGACUAGUUUCAUCAUGGUUUGUUCGUUAGUUUCUCGUUAAUUGAGAGGAUGCCCAACAUCACCCCAUGUCAUAAAUAAGGAGAAUGUUAACCAGUGUCAUUGAGACAUUGGUUAAGCACCAAAAAAGUUAAUUUUUAUUAAAAAGUAAUGUAAUUAUUACUUGAUAAAAAGUGACAGUUUAUAUUUCUAAGAUAGAAAUUUUAAUUAUAGAUUCCUUAACCAUUACCCGAGGGCACUGGUUAACAAGAACCAUAUUUUUAUUAGGUCGAUUUUUGGUGUUGAGAAAAUGAGUACCCAAAGGCACCGGUUAACAAGACCUAUAUUUUCAUUAGAUCGAUUUUUGAUGAAAAUGAAACAAGUUCACAAUUAAAGCAAACGUGAGUACAAAUGACCUUUUAUACAACAAAGAAAAUAACUUGUAAAUAUGUAAAUCACUCAAAUAGACAAAAGAGAAAGAGAGAACAUGAAUUACAAAAGGUUAUAAGAGAAUAUAUAAUAAAAUUAAUGGACUCCAACUUACUAAUAUAAAGAGCCAAUAACUUAAGUCUAAUACAUUAUUAUCUAACACCUACUCUCAAACUAAAUACUACCCAUCAAAGUUCUAACACUACCCAUCAAGCUGAAGCUUACUAAGCUUUAAGCUUGUUACAAAUUAACCCAAAAAAAUAAAUCAAAUCAGCGGCUAGCAGAACUAGUGGAGAGCAACAACCAAAGUGAGUUAUCAUCAAAGAGAGGGCAACAAGCACCAUCACCAUCAACCACUCAAAGAGAGAACCAUCUAAACAUAAGAACCUGUUAUACCCUGUUUUUGGACCUAAAAAUACUGGGCCCAAUUUCAUUUCAAACUUUGUCAACUAUCAAAUUUCAACUGCACAGUUCAAAUUGUCUCUGUCUCGCAGUAUUUUCAAUCACAAUUUUACCUAUGUUUUUCUUACAUAAAACCUUUUUUACUUGUCUUGUAAGUCAUUCAAAAGUGUCUCUGAAUCAUUACAUUGUUUUUACCACAGUUUAUUUCAAAAUUUGCAAAAAAGUCAUACAGAAGGGUAUUUUGGUCAUUUCCUGCAGUGGGACCCAUUUUCAUCCUUGUGACUGUCUCUGAGUCUUUUUCAGAUUGUUUUUUUAACCUUUCGUCAGUAAACCUUGUUAAAAUUAUUUCAAACUUGCAUCUGAGUCAGUGUCAAGUCAAUUUGAAUCUGUUUAGGUCAAUUUUAGCCCUAGGGGCAUUUUGGUCAUUUCAUCACAAAAUUUCGGCAUAGAGAGGUUACUUUGAAGUACCUCAUUUAAGCCAUUGAUUCGUUUUAGUCCGUUUUGUCAAUUUUAUUUUUUGUUUCACUUUACGUUUGUCAAAAUUAUUUUUUUUAGUUCAAUUUUAUUUUUAAAUCACAAUUUAGUCCAAUACUUUUUAAAAUUGCAUUUUUAAGUCCUUUUUGUUAAUUGCAGUUUAGUCCUUUAUUUUUUCUUUUUUGCAGCAAAGUCCAAUUCCAGGUGGCAGUGUCCCAUUGGGUCUCAAAUACAAGUGGCAGCCUAUAAAAGGCGCAUUCAAUGCACAGUCAGAAAAAAGUCAGAAAUUCAUCACAAACAGAUUUCUUUUCUCUCUCCAUUCAGUUACGAAUCAAAACAGAAAAAUCAUAGAAAAUCACCAAGAACAAAAACCCUAGAAAAUUUUCCAGAAUUGAAAUUCAUCACAGUUCUCAGUGAUUCAUUGAAGAAUCAUCAUCAUCGAACCGAAUCCUUCACAAUUCUAGUGCGGAUCCGUCACCAAUAGCAACGAAUCCAAGCACGAUCGCGAAGGAUCCAAAAGUUUGAGAAGAAGAGGGAAAGAACCGAUUCGGACCAGCAAAGAGAAAGAGAGAAGAACCGAUUUAUUUUCGGAUCCAAGCCAGAGAAUCAACAAACCGCACCAACAAUCAAGUUUUCCGAAGAUCUUGUUCAAAAUCUCCAGUCAAAAAUCACAGGUAAACACGUGAAACUCGUCUUUCUUUCUCAGAAACGGUAACAAACACGAAUCAAACACAGAUUUGCAACUUUCAUUCGAUAAAACACUAAAAAGAAUCAAGAAAAAUCUUUUCAAAACCGCGAACAAAAGUGUAGAUCUACAGAGAUUUAGACCUCGUGUGAGAAAACCAGUGCCGGAUUCGUGUUUGUGACCAAAAAGGAUAUCUAAAAAUGUGAAAAUUUUUGAAAACGGAGAAGUUUGUUCAACUCCGGCGGCGGCGCCGCCACCCUUGGGUGGCCGGCCACCGCGCCGGAAGAACAAGCUUCACCGGAGAAGAUGAAGACUCAUCUUCCUCCUUGAGGUUUCCGGCGAGAGAGGGAAGAGAGAAGUGGGAGCUUCUCUCACUAGGAUGAGAGAAGAGAGAGAAGGAGAGGAAGAGAAUGAGAAAAAAACCGGUUUCCCCCCUUUAUAAAGCCAGUGAACCGGACCGGUUCAGGACCGGUCCAACCUCCUUCAUUCCUGGCCGUUGGAUCUAGGGUUUCCUACCCUGGAUCAAUCCAACGUCUCCUGUGCAAUCUGAGUUUUGUGUGUUGGGCUUUAGGUUUGGGCUUAAUUUUCUGAGAAUUUCUUGCUUUUUCUUGCUGUCUACACUCUUUUUUGUGCUAUUUGAACCUGUGCCUUGAUUAAAAUUUUGGUAAAAAUUCCUAGAAAUUUUAGGCUUAUUCUUUGUUGAUUUCUUAUUGGUUCUAUGACAUUUUUGCAUGUUGAGUUUGACAAAAAUAUUACAUGGUUAAUUCAUAGCAUUUUAAUUCUUUUUGGCUUAUUCCUUAUGAUUUCUUUAUCAUAUCUUUGUCCUUAAUUUGUGGAUAUGUGAUAAAGGCCUUUUUGAUAUGAUAAUGUGAGAUGCUUGUGCCUAUAAUCAUGUGUUGAUCUUGCUGUUUUGGAUUGAUUCAUGAAGCCUUGAUUUUAUGAGCAAUGUAUGCAUACUCUAGAAAAUAAUAAAAUGCUAAUUCUAUCCCAAAAUUGGUAUGAAACUAAGCUUGCUUGUUUCUAAUGAUCCUAUGAUUAUAGCUUGAGAAAAAAAAAAACUAUUUCAAACUCGUUAUAGCAUGAGAAUUAGAAGCUAUAAAUGCCUUAGAUUUCAUAUCAAAAUUUUAGGGUUUAUUAUCAUUUUAUUACUAUCUUUGUGGCAUUUUAUGCGUUGUUGCCUCUUGCUACUCUUUAUGCUUUAUUUCACUAACAAGUUUAUUUCCAUGUUUCAUGCAUCUCAUUUAGCAUUCCCUCCACUUUUUUUUUUUUAGCCUAGCAUUUAUUUUCACAAGUUUUGAUUCAUUUGGUGAUGUAAUUUGUUAUCAUUGAUUUGUAGCUUGGCAAAGGGGCCAUAGAAUGUAUUUAGGGAAUUUUUGUAAUAUGGACUAUGGACACUAUGACGCACCGACACACACACACUCACCCUAGAUGUAUGCUUAGGAUUGUAUGCAUAGAUGUAUGGCUAGGAUUGCAUGAUUAGAUGAACGCUUAGUUUCGAACACUUAGAGAAAACCCAAUUUUUUCCAAAAAAAACAUGCAAAUAAAUUCACUUCAAAUAUUUUUAUAAAAAAAAAUGGAGUCAAAACUCCAAUAAUUUUUCCUUUUUAUUUUCUUAAGUAAAACUUUUAAUGAACUUUAACCAUGCUCAGACUUCAUUUAGCAAAACGAUUAAUUCCACCUCACAUUUUCCAAAUCUUAUGCCUUUGAGGCCUCUCAUCUCUAUCCUUCAAAAUCUCUUUUCAAACUUAAAAUCAACCAACAAAAACAAAAAACCAUUUUUGAGAAUGAACUACGAACGGUUUUGAUCCCUUAAAAGGGUACGUAGGCAAUGAGUCAAAACUCAUCCAAGCCGAAAUAAAAAUCAAAUUCUACUUCUUCUCACCCCCAUUCUUCACUAAUCAUACAUUCCUUUUUUACAAAUAAGCAAUAAAACUAAAGCGUAGAAAUAAACUUAGGAGAACGGUUCUUAUGGAAUACCAUAAUCGCUCCGGGUGCCUAACACCUUCCCGUAGCGAAAACGACCCCCGAAUCUAGAACUUUUUAAGGGUUUUUCUCCUUUUACCCUUCCCAAGAAAAAAGAGAGAUAUCAACGGUCGAAAGGUUCAAGUCCAAUUAAUGGCUUGGCACCCAAAAACCAUGAUAACAGAAAUGGCGACUUCACUGGGGAGUUUUUUUUAGCGGGUCGCGCCUAGUUUUCCUUAGUUUAUAUUUACGCUUUGUUUUAUUGCUUACAUAUGUGAAUACUUGUUUAUUUUCAUUUGACGUGUGGGGUGAGAAUAUCAAAAGUCCUAUACCCGGGCUGAGUGAACUUAUGUUUAGGUAGAGAUAUAAUCGACAAUUCGAUCCGGGGGUUGCCUCGUGUAUUGGAUUAUGCGAUCAAUCUCACAUAGCUGAGGCAUUUUGAAGGUGAUAUUGUCGGCGUGUGUUGUCAUGCUUAGGCACUUCACUUUCAAUUGUUCGACGAAGCUAUGAACCGUAGUUACCAGACCCAUCCUAGCCUUUUUAGGACGUAGUGCGGUGGCUAAAUUGAGUGUUGUCUCAAACUUUAGUCGUCACGCGAUACUACACUCAAGCUAGACCUUCUCACAAAUAAUCAUGGAACGGGUGUCGUCCUGUACUACCAUGAUAUAUGUGAGAGAGGUUGCAGUUUGGGAACUGUGUUAGAACCUUGGUUACUACUAUCCAAAGCCUUAGUUCACCGGACACCGUGUCCAUCCGUGGCCCUGUUACUUUGAAUCUCAACCCACCUUGUUCUUUGUAACUAAACAAAACAACCAUGCAUACAUGCAUUCAUGCAUAAGUUUUUUUUUCACGCAUACAUCAAAGAUUUUUUUAGACAGAUCAAAACAUUGUAAGACACCGCAGGUGUGAACUUGUAUUCAUAAGUUUACCAUUGUAAAACCUUAUUUUGCUUGUUUAACAGUGUUUACAAUGUUUCGAAUUUGUUUAAAAAGUCCUUCGAUGACAUUAAAAAGAGUCGUUUUUGCAUUUGCAUUUGCAUAUCAUGCAUCAUAUGCAUCAUACAUCGGUCACAAAGGCUUCCAAUUGCUCACUACUUCCUGGUUCCUCUGCCACAGUUUGAAAAGUGGCUCGUGCUCAGAAGGUCUACGAACCUGAUAGAAUCGAUCGAACCAGAGAGUACAGAAGAAGGAAAAAGGCUAUGGAAGAAGAGAACGCUCAGCUCCGUACCGAGUUAGCCACUCUAAGGGAGGAAUUGGCUAAAGCUAAUGAUGUCAUGACUGCUCUGCUAGCCGCUCAAGAACAAUCAGCUACGGCUAUCCCUAUAGCCACAGCUGCACCGGUGACUACAAGCGUGCUCCCAACCACAUCUGCAGACGCUCGCUUUGCUAUGACAGCUGGGUUUCCGUAUGGGCUUCCACCGUUCUUCACUCCCAGUACUGCAGCUGGCGUUUCUGGUACUGUCAAUAAUGGCCAGAUUCCUGGGAAGAACCAUGUCUCUGUCAAUACCACCUUGCCUCAGACAACGGCCACUCUGGAUCGUUUGAGCUAUCGGGGAACUCCCUUGGGAAUGAGCACCUUUCUGGUUAAAGCCUUCGACGGAUCCCGUAAGAACAUUCUUGGGGAGAUAGAUCUGCCAAUAACUAUCUGUCCCGAAACCUUUUUGAUCACGUUCCAGGUCAUGGACAUCAAUGCUGCUCAGCUACCUCCGUCGUACACGUAUGCGCAAUACUCUCAGCAUCCCUUCUUUCCACCAUUCUAUCAUCAGUAUCCUUUGCCAUUGGGACAACCUCAGGUACCCGUUAAUGCCGUCGUUCAGCGAAUGCAACAACAGCCUCCAGCUCAACAACGACAGCAGCAACAGGCUAGACCUACCUUUCCUCUGAUACCAAUGUUAUAUGCUGAAUUACUCCCGACUCUACUUCUCAAAGGGCACUGCACAACCAGACAGGGCAAGCCUCCACCUGAUCCAUCGCCUCCCAAGUUCCGUUCGGACCUCAAAUGUGAUUUCCAUCAAGGUGCUCUGGGUCAUGAUGUCGAAGGAUGCUAUGCUUUGAAAUACAUUGUGAAGAAGCUCAUUAACCAAGGAAAGUUGACUUUUGAGAACAACGUCCCUCAUGUCCUCGACAACCCUCUUCCGAAUCACGUUGCUGUAAACAUGAUUGAGGUAUAUGAGGAAGCUCCCAGAUCGGACGUUUGUAACGUUGCAACUCCUCUGGUGCCACUACACAUCGAGUUAUGCCAAGCCUCUCUGUUUGACCAUGAUCAUGCCAGUUGCCCAGAAUGCUUCCAUAAUCCUUGGGGUUGCUACGUUGUUCAGAAUGACAUCCAGAAACUGAUGAACGACAAUUAUCUGACUGUCAAUGACAUCCAAGAAGGACAAGCUGCUGGCUGGGGCAAGUUAAUACAACUCCUUGAGAAUAAGCAUAAAGAGGGUCUCGGAUAUUCCCCAACUUCAGGAGUUUCCACAGGAACCUUCUACAGUGCUGGGUUUGUCAAUGCAAUUACUGAAAAGACGACUGGAUUUGAUCCUAUGCCUAUGUUUGUUAUACCAAGAGGCAUUGCGAGAAAUUGGGAUGCCAUCAUCAUUCCUUCAAUCAUGCAUGUUUCCGAGUAAUGUGUCUUGUUGCUUAAGUGUUUUGUUUUUCAAAAAUAAUAAUCUUCUCGCUCUGCCCGAAGCGACAGUGAUAUUUUCUGUAAGGGCAUGUUUGUUUCGGCAUCGCCGUUAUUAACAAAAAUCGUCGUUUCUUUCACGACUUUUAUUUUUUAGUGAUUUUUUUUUUCUUCUUGGAAAUAAUGGUAAUACCAGAAAAAACCAAAACAUCUUUAUUUUUCUUAUCAAUUUCAAAGAACUGCAUAAAAAGAAAAAAAAAAAAACCAUUUUCUAAAAUCAUUCAACCAUUCUAUGCAGUUUGAACCAUAAUAAACCCGUUGAACACAGUAAUCCUACGGUUCCUCCAAAUUUUGAAUUCCCUGUGUAUGAAGCCGAAGAUGAAGAGGAUGAUGAUAUACCAUAUGAGAUCACUCGACUGCUUGAGCAAGAAUCAACCUAUUGUAUGGAACGAUGAAUGCCAGGAAGCUUUUGAUAGCAUCAAGAAUUACCUGCUAGAACCACCUAUCCUUGUCCCUCCCAUGGAAGGAAGGCCUUUGAUUUUGUAUUUGUCAGUGUUUGAUGAACCUGUGGGAUGCGUGCUUGGUCAACAAGAUGAGACUGGAAAGAAAGAACAUGCUAUCUACUACCUAAGCAAGAAGUUCACCGAUGGUGAAACUCGGUAUACAAUGCUUGAGAAGACUUGUUGUGCUCUAGCUUGGGCUGCCAAACGCCUGCGUCAUUAUUUGGUGAAUCAUACAACUUGGUUGAUAUCCAGAAUGGAUCCGAUAAAGUAUAUCUUUGAGAAAGCGGCCGUUACUGGGAAGAUCGCACGCUGGCAGAUGCUUUUGUCUGAAUACGAUAUUGUGUUCAAAACUCAAAAGGCAAUCAAAGGUAGCAUUCUUGCCGAUCAUCUUGCCUACCAACCUCUUGAUGAUUAUCAACCAAUUGAAUUCGACUUCCCCGAUGAAGAGAUCAUGUAUUUAAAAUCCAAAGACUGCGAAGAACCGUUGAUUAAUGAAGGUCCAGAUCCCAAUAGCAAGUGGGGUUUAGUCUUUGAUGGUGCUGUCAAUGCUUAUGGUAAAGGAAUUGGGGCAGUCAUUGUAUCCCCGCAGGGGCAUCACAUUCCUUUUACCGCCCGAAUUUUGUUCGAAUGUACCAACAAUAUGGCUGAAUACGAAGCAUGUAUCUUUGGGAUCGAGGAAGCAAUUGACAUGAGAAUCAAACACCUCGACAUCUAUGGAGAUUCUGCGCUCGUCAUUAAUCAGAUAAAGGGGGAAUGGGAGACCCACCAUGCUAAGUUGAUUCCUUAUCGGGAUUAUGCAAGACGUCUUCUGACAUAUUUUACAAAGGUUGAGCUGCACCAUAUUCCUCGUGAUGAGAACCAAAUGGCUGAUGCUCUUGCUACUCUAUCCUCCAUGUUUCGAGUAAACCAUUGGAAUGAUGUGCCAGUAAUCAAAGUGCAACGCCUUGAAAGACCUUCGCAUGUGUUUGCUAUUGGGGAUGUGAUCGAUCAGGCUGGCGAAAAUGUGGUUGACUAUAGACCCUGGUACUACGACAUCAAACAGUUCUUGCUGAGCCGUGAGUAUCCGCCGGGUGCUUCCAAACAAGACAAGAAGACCUUGAGAAGAUUGGCCAGUAGAUUCCUGUUAGAUGGAGAGAUUCUGUACAAGAGAAACUAUGACAUGGUAUUGUUAAGAUGUGUUGAUGAACAUGAAGCAGAGCAGUUAAUGCAUGAUGUACAUGACGGUACCUUCGGGACCCAUGCUACAGGGCAUACUAUGUCAAGAAAGUUGUUACGAGCAGGUUAUUACUGGAUGGCUAUGGAGCAUGAUUGCUACCAGUACGCCAGAAAAUGCCACAAAUGUCAAAUCUAUGCUGAUAAGAUCCAUGUGCCUCCGCAUGCUCUCAAUGUUAUUUCAUCCCCAUGGCCGUUCUCAAUGUGGGGCAUCGACAUGAUCGGAAGGAUUGAACCGAAGGCUUCAAAUGGUCAUCGUUUCAUCUUAGUGGCAAUUGACUACUUCACCAAAUGGGUUGAAGCAGCAUCUUAUACCAAUGUGACCAAGCAAGUGGUAGCUAAGUUCAUCAAGAACAACAUCAUCUGUCGAUAUGGUGUUCCCAGCAAGAUUAUUACCGACAAUGGUACCAACCUGAACAACAAUGUGGUGCAAGCUCUUUGUGAAGAAUUCAAAAUUGAGCAUCAUAACUCUUCUCCUUAUAGACCUCAGAUGAAUGGUGCAGUUGAGGCCGCCAACAAGAAUAUCAAGAGAAUUGUCCAGAAGAUGGUAACCACUUACAAGGACUGGCAUGAGAUGUUACCCUAUGCUCUGCAUGGCUACCGUACUACUGUGCGCAGUUCAACCGGGGCAACCCCUUUCUCUCUUGUAUAUGGUAUGGAAGCAGUUCUUCCUUUGGAAGUGGAAAUCCCAUCUCUCCGUGUGAUCAUGGAAGCAAAGUUAUCCGAGGCUGAAUGGUGCCAAAGCCGGUAUGAUCAGUUGAAUUUGAUUGAAGAAAAACGUAUGGAUGCCAUGGCUCGUGGACAGUCAUAUCAAACAAGAAUGAAGACUGCUUUUGACAAGAAAGUCCAUCCUCGAGAAUUCAAGGUAGGGGAACUUGUAUUGAAAAGGAGGAUAAGCCAGCAACCCGACCCAAGGGGCAAGUGGACGCCUAACUAUGAAGGUCCUUAUGUUGUCAAGAAGGCCUUCUCCGGUGGUGCUUUAAUCCUUACACACAUGGAUGGUGUGGAACUUCCAAAUCCAGUGAAUGCCGAUAUAGUCAAGAAAUACUUUGCCUAGAAAUAUGAAAAGAACAGCGUGGUAGGUCGAAAACCCGAAAGGGCGGCCUAGGCAAAAAUGCGCUUCCCGGUGGAUCGAAAACCCGAAAGGGCGGUCCAGGCAAAAAUAAGGGACAAAAAAAAAUAUUUGAAAAAGCUCGCUGAGAUUGCACGCAACUCAGGCAAGAAUGAGCGUCUCGAUGAGCCGAAAACCCGGAAGGGCAGUUCAUGCAAAAAUGAGAUUGAAACAAAAGGCAAGUAACUAUAUCUGACCAACCACCGUCCCCCUUGGGGCAUCUGCUGCUGUUAAUGACUAUCUUCAUCAAAAGCUCCUACACUUGCGAAUUCAAAGUUUCCAGGAAAUGUAAUGAUUGCUGUGUUCAAUGUACCACCAACCAAUAAAAUUACCAUUUUCCAAGCUUUGUGAAUCCGUGGAGUCACGCCUUCGGCUGACCACCACUCUCAUACAUCAAUUUGAGCCUUUGCUUUUGUUUUAAAACUCUAUUUUCUUCUACUUUCAAAGCUAAAUAUACAAUUUAUUUUCCUUCUAUUUUGAUAAUGAUAAUGCUUGAAACAAACAUUUUUAAAAAUUGAAAACUUUUUGUCUAUUUUGAAAAGCAAACCUGAGCAACAGGGUACAUUCAAAUGAAACAUGCAUGAGCGAGAGUAUGUUGAUGUCUAUUUCAAUAUAUGUUACAAGCAGGUUCUCCUCCAGGAUAGUCUGUGGUCAAUGGCAAGAAUGAAAAAACAGAAUAAAAAUGCAUGAAAAUGAAUAGGCUCGCUGAGUUGAAAACCCGAAAGGGCGGCUUAGGCAAAAAUGAGCACCUCGCUGGAUUGACAACCCGAAAGGGCAGUUCAGGCAAAAAUGGGGCAUUGAAAAGAAUUUAUCUCCCCGGUGGAUCGAAAACCCGAAAGGGCGAUCCUGGCAAAAAUGGGAUGCGAAAAAAUGAAAAUGAGAAUAUAACAUGCAAAAAGCAUUGACCACAGAUGCAAUGUCUACAACAUACCCAGCACUGAAAUGCCCAGCACAACGGCAUUUUCCCCAGUCAGGUCUCUCAAGACUCUAUCCCCAGCAAGUUACAUACCUACCGGCCCUCGGCCAUGGUUCCGAUACGUCUCCCAACGACGUCAUCUCCAAAGAGGAUUUCCAAGAAUGUGUAAUAUAGCACGAGCCGCUACGUGCCCAAUACUCUAAUGUCUUGUCUUCCCCGUGAAGUCGUGCCUACAAACUGCCAACAGUCAUGCAUUACAAGCAUUCAUACAUGCAUAAUCAUGCAUAUUGCGUACCCAUGCAUUUAAUGAAACUGUUAUAUCAUCCAUGCAUAUCGCAUUUCCAAUGAUAUCGGUCAAUUUCUGCCUUUCAAUUCAAAUCGACGUUAAGUCAAUCUCAAUCUAUAUUUUGUCAAAACAAACUAAUCCCCAGUGAAUAUGUUUCUGUUUGGUCAAGUGGCUAGUUCAAGUCCAAGAACAGCUUGUACCUAUCAAUUUGCUUAUGUUAUCGGUCGAGUGCCCAGCUCAAUCCAAGAGCAGCUUGUACCUGUCAAUAUGUUUCCGUUUGGUCAAAUGACUAGCUCAAUCCAAGAGCAGCUUGUACCUAUCUAUAUGUUUGUCUCCGGUGGAGUAACCAGUUCGCAUCCAAGAACAAGCUCGCACCUGUCUAUUUGCCUUGCUUUCAGUCGAGUAACCAGUUCGAAUCCUUAAGAACAACUCGUACCUGCCAAUUUUACAUGUUUUCAGUCGAGUCACCAGUUCGAAUCCAUAAGAACAACUCGUACUUGUCAAUUUUCUCUUUUUUUCAGUCGAGUCACCAGUUCGAAUCCAUAAGAACAACUCGCACUUUCCAAUAUCCCCAAGUGAGUUACCAGUUCGAAUCCAUAAGAACAACUCAUGUUUGUCCAGUAACCUCUAUCCCCUGUGAAGUGACCAGUUCGAAUCCAUAAGAACAACUCGCAGUUGUCUGUUUGUUUCAUUCCCGGUCAAGUGGCUAGUUUGAAUCCAAGAACAGCUUGUACCUGUCCAACUUGUUUCUAGUUUCCCGUUACUCUGUUAUUCACUAUCUUUGUCAAUGUCUACCAAUCCCGCAAUGGAUACGACAUAUUUUGUUAAUUCCAAUCCCCAUGAGGUCUUGCAUUCAUAAUCCAAAUGAUGCAUGGCAUGCAUAUUAUUUGAAAAUGGGUGGGCGUAUUUUUACGUCCAAACACAGUGCAAAUGCUAAUAUUUAAGUAUCUUCGUCCUGUCAAGCCAAAGACUCCGUCUCUUGACUCUCCAGACAAAGAAACUUAAAUAGGGGCAGCUGUUAUACCCUGUUUUUGGACCUAAAAAUACUGGGCCCAAUUUCAUUUCAAACUUUGUCAACUAUCAAAUUUCAACUGCACAGUUCAAAUUGUCUCUGCCUCGCAGUAUUUUCAAUCACAAUUUUACCUAUGUUUUUCUUACAUAAAACCUUUUUUACUUGUCUUGUAAGUCAUUCAAAAGUGUCUCUGAAUCAUUACAUUGUUUUUACCACAGUUUAUUUCAAAAUUUGCAAAAAAGUCAUACAGAAGGGUAUUUUGGUCAUUUCCUGCAGUGGGACCCAUUUUCAUCCUUGUGACUGUCUCUGAGUCUUUUUCAGAUUGUUUUUUUAACCUUUCGUCAGUAAACCUUGUUAAAAUUAUUUCAAACUUGCAUCUGAGUCAGUGUCAAGUCAAUUUGAAUCUGUUUAGGUCAAUUUUAGCCCUAGGGGCAUUUUGGUCAUUUCACACAAAAUUUCGGCAUAGAGAGGUUACUUUGAAGUACCUCAUUUAAGCCAUUGAUUCGUUUUAGUCCGUUUUGUCAAUUUUAUUUUUUGUUUCACUUUACGUUUGUCAAAAUUAUUUUUUUUAGUUCAAUUUUAUUUUUAAAUCACAAUUUAGUCCAAUACUUUUUAAAAUUGCAUUUUUAAGUCCUUUUUGUUAAUUGCAGUUUAGUCCUUUAUUUUUUCUUUUUUGCAGCAAAGUCCAAUUCCAGGUGGCAGUGUCCCAUUGGGUCUCAAAUACAAGUGGCAGCCUAUAAAAGGCGCAUUCAAUGCACAGUCAGAAAAAAGUCAGAAAUUCAUCACAAACAGAUUUCUUUUCUCUCUCCAUUCAGUUACGAAUCAAAACAGAAAAAUCAUAGAAAAUCACCAAGAACAAAAACCCUAGAAAAUUUUCCAGAAUUGAAAUUCAUCACAGUUCUCAGUGAUUCAUUGAAGAAUCAUCAUCAUCGAACCGAAUCCUUCACAAUUCUAGUGCGGAUCCGUCACCAAUAGCAACGAAUCCAAGCACGAUCGCGAAGGAUCCGAAAGUUUGAGAAGAAGAGGGAAAGAACCGAUUCGGACCAGCAAAGAGAAAGAGAGAAGAACCGAUUUAUUUUCGGAUCCAAGCCAGAGAAUCAACAAACCGCACCAACAAUCAAGUUUUCCGAAGAUCUUGUUCAAAAUCUCCAGUCAAAAAUCACAGGUAAACACGUGAAACUCGUCUUUCUUUCUCAGAAACGGUAACAAACACGAAUCAAACACAGAUUUGCAACUUUCAUUCGAUAAAACACUAAAAAGAAUCAAGAAAAAUCUUUUCAAAACCGCGAACAAAAGUGUAGAUCUACAGAGAUUUAGACCUCGUGUGAGAAAACCAGUGCCGGAUUCGUGUUUGUGACCAAAAAGGAUAUCUAAAAAUGUGAAAAUUUUUGAAAACGGAGAAGUUUGUUCAACUCCGGCGGCGGCGCCGCCACCCUUGGGUGGCCGGCCACCGCGCCGGAAGAACAAGCUUCACCGGAGAAGAUGAAGACUCAUCUUCCUCCUUGAGGUUUCCGGCGAGAGAGGGAAGAGAGAAGUGGGAGCUUCUCUCACUAGGAUGAGAGAAGAGAGAGAAGGAGAGGAAGAGAAUGAGAAAAAAACCGGUUUCCCCCCUUUAUAAAGCCAGUGAACCGGACCGGUUCAGGACCGGUCCAACCUCCUUCAUUCCUGGCCGUUGGAUCUAGGGUUUCCUACCCUGGAUCAAUCCAACGUCUCCUGUGCAAUCUGAGUUUUGUGUGUUGGGCUUUAGGUUUGGGCUUAAUUUUCUGAGAAUUUCUUGCUUUUUCUUGCUGUCUACACUCUUUUUUGUGCUAUUUGAACCUGUGCCUUGAUUAAAAUUUUGGUAAAAAUUCCUAGAAAUUUUAGGCUUAUUCUUUGUUGAUUUCUUAUUGGUUCUAUGACAUUUUUGCAUGUUGAGUUUGACAAAAAUAUUACAUGGUUAAUUCAUAGCAUUUUAAUUCUUUUUGGCUUAUUCCUUAUGAUUUCUUUAUCAUAUCUUUGUCCUUAAUUUGUGGAUAUGUGAUAAAGGCCUUUUUGAUAUGAUAAUGUGAGAUGCUUGUGCCUAUAAUCAUGUGUUGAUCUUGCUGUUUUGGAUUGAUUCAUGAAGCCUUGAUUUUAUGAGCAAUGUAUGCAUACUCUAGAAAAUAAUAAAAUGCUAAUUCUAUCCCAAAAUUGGUAUGAAACUAAGCUUGCUUGUUUCUAAUGAUCCUAUGAUUAUAGCUUGAGAAAAAAAAAAACUAUUUCAAACUCGUUAUAGCAUGAGAAUUAGAAGCUAUAAAUGCCUUAGAUUUCAUAUCAAAAUUUUAGGGUUUAUUAUCAUUUUAUUACUAUCUUUGUGGCAUUUUAUGCGUUGUUGCCUCUUGCUACUCUUUAUGCUUUAUUUCACUAACAAGUUUAUUUCCAUGUUUCAUGCAUCUCAUUUAGCAUUCCCUCCACUUUUUUUUUUUUAGCCUAGCAUUUAUUUUCACAAGUUUUGAUUCAUUUGGUGAUGUAAUUUGUUAUCAUUGAUUUGUAGCUUGGCAAAGGGGCCAUAGAAUGUAUUUAGGGAAUUUUUGUAAUAUGGACUAUGGACACUAUGACGCACCGACACACACACACUCACCCUAGAUGUAUGCUUAGGAUUGUAUGCAUAGAUGUAUGGCUAGGAUUGCAUGAUUAGAUGAACGCUUAGUUUCGAACACUUAGAGAAAACCCAAUUUUUUCCAAAAAAAACAUGCAAAUAAAUUCACUUCAAAUAUUUUUAUAAAAAAAAAUGGAGUCAAAACUCCAAUAAUUUUUCCCUUUUAUUUUCUUAAGUAAAACUUUUAAUGAACUUUAACCAUGCUCAGACUUCAUUUAGCAAAACGAUUAAUUCCACCUCACAUUUUCCAAAUCUUAUGCCUUUGAGGCCUCUCAUCUCUAUCCUUCAAAAUCUCUUUUCAAACUUAAAAUCAACCAACAAAAACAAAAAACCAUUUUUGAGAAUGAACUACGAACGGUUUUGAUCCCUUAAAAGGGUACGUAGGCAAUGAGUCAAAACUCAUCCAAGCCGAAAUAAAAAUCAAAUUCUACUUCUUCUCACCCCCAUUCUUCACUAAUCAUACAUUCCUUUUUUACAAAUAAGCAAUAAAACUAAAGCGUAGAAAUAAACUUAGGAGAACGGUUCUUAUGGAAUACCAUAAUCGCUCCGGGUGCCUAACACCUUCCCGUAGCGAAAACGACCCCCGAAUCUAGAACUUUUUAAGGGUUUUUCUCCUUUUACCCUUCCCAAGAAAAAAGAGAGAUAUCAACGGUCGAAAGGUUCAAGUCCAAUUAAUGGCUUGGCACCCAAAAACCAUGAUAACAGAACCCAAUCAAACCAAACCAAACAAAAGAACCGAUAGAGAGAAACAACCAUACAAAAGAACCAAUAGAGAGGAGCAACCAAACAGAAAAAUCAAUAAGGAGAAGUGCAAUUCAAUCAAUCAAAAGAAUCCAUAAGGGAGAAGUGCAAAAUCAAUCUAAAGAAUCAAAAGGGAAGAAGUGAAAUCAAUCUGAAGAAUUAAAAGAGGAGAAGUGCAGGGCAAUCAAUCAGAAGAAUCAUAAGGGGAGGAGAAGUGCAAUGCAAUCAAUCAGAAGAAUCAAAAGGUGAGAAGUGCAAAGCAAUCAAUCAGGAGAAUCAAUAAGAGGAGAAGUGCAAAGCAAUCAAUAAGGAGAAUCAAUAGGAGGAGAAGUGAAAUCAAUCAAAAGAAUGAAAAGGGGAGAAGUGCAAUGCAAUCAAUCAGAAGAAUCAAUAGGGGGAGAAGUGUAAUCAAUCAAAAGAAUCAAAAGGGGGAGAAGAAACCAAAUUGUGAGCAUUCGACUCACCAAACAACCAAAGUGUGAGUACUUCCCACCAAACAAACAAAUUGUGAGCACUUGACCCGCCAAACAAACAAACCAAUUGUGAGCACUAUCUUGACUCACCAACAACCAAACAAAUUGAACCAAACGAAAUCAAAUCAAACUGAAUGAAACUAAAUUGAACAAAACUAAAUCAAGAUAAAUUGAAACACCAAAACGAACCAAACUAAACAAACCAAAACAAGUUGAACCAAAGCAACUAGAGUCAGACAGAGACGAACAACCAAUUAACCAAACACAAAUACAGAAACACACGAAGACUAAAAAAACUCACAAACGGAUUACUAGACUCACGUAAAUAAACCAAAAAAAGGAGAUCGGCCCAAACAUAAAACUCAAGCAAAAAGAACCACCAACCUUGAUUAAAUUAAAAGAACAAUGAAAAGAAGAAGAAUAAUCGGCUGCAAGUCUGACUCCAAAACCCACAAACAAAAUCUAAUUCCUCCAUAUAUUCCCAAUUAUGCCAAUUUAUUGACCAACAACCGUACGCCUUUCACUUCUUGAACAACAUAUCGGACGACAACUUGGCUUUCACCUUAUAAUCCAAAUGUAGCCAUAAAAGCAAACAACACAAAAAGGCAAUUUCAAAUCCACCAACAACAUUGUUUCAACAAAGAGUCAAUCGGAGUCAAAUAAUUUUUUUAGCGACGAAUGCACAAUAACCAACAAAUAUAAUCAGUCUUCAAUCAAAAUAAAGAUGACAACAAAAAAAACAAAGCAAACACAUUCCCAAAAUUUUGGGAACCCAACAGCCGAAGCGACGAGUAAUUUAAGAAGAAUCAAACCAUGCUCUUGAUACCAUGUAAACAACACAAAUACACGAGUUCAUCUUUCUUCCAUUUAGGAAGCCUCCAUUUUCCCCGGUCCAGCUUUUAGGUGUGUGACAUGUGACAAACAUAAAAGCAAGGGUUAGGAUUAAAAGGUUUGGAAAAAAAAAAACUAUUUAGAUGAACACAAAAAAGCCUACACGCGCGUCUCCUCUUCUCUUCUCUCUGAUACAACACACACAUUCCUUUCUUCCUUCUCUCAUAAUAACUGCUGCCUCUCCCUCCCACCGAUGUAAUAGCCCGAUUUUUCACUAAAUUUAUUUUAAUUACUUUUAUUAUGUGUUUUAUGUGCUUGUGUGUGAUUAUUCAUCAUUGAGUGCAUUUUCAUGUAAAUUAGUCAUUUUGGACUUAGGGGUAUUUUGGUCAUUUUGUGAGAACGGGUAAAUUAUAAGUUUUGGUGAGAAUUACUUUUAGUGAUUAGUGAGAACCGUUGUUUUACUAAGUUACUUGAGUAAUAAUUAAGGUUUUACCGUUAAGUGACUGUUGGUAGGAUUUUACCGUUUAUUGACCGUUAUUGGUGAAUUACCGUUGUGUGGGUAGAAACAUUUUAGAUGUGAGUUGAAAUGGGUUAAAUCCAUUAAGUUGAGGGUUAGGCCCAUUAAGGGGACUUGCUAUAAAAACCUUGUCUUAGAGGAAAUUUCCACACACUUUCAUUUCAUAAGAUAUUUUUGAGAGAGUUAGAGAGAGAAAGUGGGAGCAAGAGGAAGAAAGGGUUAGAGAGAAGAGGAAAUUGAAGAAUCAAGGAUUGGGGGAGAGCUAGGAGCAAAAUUGAAGCUUGAGCUAGGGAGAUUAAUCUAACUAAGGUAAGGGGGUUAGAAUUCAUCAUAAUCAUUUAUUGCAAUUUUCAAUUAUUGUAUGAAUAAGUGCUUAAUUGGAUGAAUUGGUUAAUUGUUCAUAAAUGAUGAAAUUCGUGCUCUAAUUAUGAUGAUAUGUUUGGAUGUAUGAAGUUAUGAAUAAUUGAAUUGUUGUUAGUUGAAUUACAUGUUCAAAGUAUGAGAAUAUGGUAAAUGUUGAAAAUAUGCUCAUUUGGUGAAUUAUGUUAUGUUGUUGAUGAAUUGUGAUAAGUUUCAUGAUCAAUUGAUGUUGUUGUUGCUAAGUCAUGUCGUUGAUGAUAAUUCAUGGCUUGAGUUUACAUGAUUCAUGAUUGUUGUUGAGAAAUGAGAUGUUGUUGGUGUUUUGUGAAAAUUGGUGAAUUGGUCAUAUUGUCAAUUGUUUUCAUAUUGGUUGAGUCUUUGUGAGUCUUUUUAGUCAUAUUGACAUGUAAACAUCAUAUGGAAACACAUUUGGGCAUUGAGGGAUCAAAAUUGGGGGUUUUGAGCGAAAAGGGGUUGAAACCCGUAACAUUUUCUGCAGAACUGUGAACAUUCGCUUAGAGGUUCGCUUAAGCGACUUGUAAGCGAGCAUUCAUAUUAUUUUAUGGGUUUAGGUCGCUCAAGAGACCGGUGAGCGAGCUGGUAAGUGAACCUUACUAGUAGCUACUGGAACUCAUUCGCUUAAGCGAACCAUGGGGCCGCUUAAGCGAACUGAUGAACGACCAGUCAGUGUACCUUACAGGUGGCUACUGUCACUCGUUCGCUUAAGCGAACCACGGGUCGCUUAAGCGGACCGGUCCAGUUUCAGCCACUUUUGAAUUUUGUUCCGGGUCUUUGGGGGCCAAUCCGAGCUUUGUAAAAUGAUUAUUUCAACAAACUACUAUUUAAUCCCCUAAACCUACUGGAACAUGAUUAGCUUGUCUAAACUUCUUAUAUGACUAAGUGAAGUUGUAUGAAUGAUUGAUUGUAGUUUGGAUAUGAUGUUUAUCAUAAAAUGUGUAUGCUAUCUUACUUAGAAGGUAAGAAAUGCUUGAAAUGGUGCAACUAUAUGAGAUAGUUAAUGUUGAAUGACCUUGUUGAUUAUUGAUAAUCAUGUUGAUGUAGUGAUGAUGAAUCUUAUGAUUUGAUUAUGUAUGGACAUGUUUUCUUGAUAAUGCAAAUGUUGUGGAGAUGAUCAAUAUAUAUGGAAUUGUCCUCUAUAUUGUGGUGAAAAUUGUGGAUUGAUGUCGCAUUAUCGAGUCUUUGUACAUGUCGAUGCAUCAUAGUCAUGUUGAGAUUUGAUAUGAUGUUUUUGUCGCAUCAUUGGUCUCGGCCUAGCAGAGAUCAUUUAGUGAUCUAGUUUUGUGGACUUCGGUCUUGCAUAGAUCCUUAGUGAUCUAGAUUUGUGGGCUCCGUCCUUGCAGAGACCUUUGACGGUCUAGAUAUAAGUGACGACCUUGGAAUGAUAUGGUACAACAUGCAUAUACGUGUCGGGUUAGGUACACAUCAUGCAUGAGUCUUAUUUUGAAAUGUGAUUGGUGAUUGUGCAUGAAUAAAUGUGAUUGAUAAUUGUUCAUGACACAUGUGAUUGAUGAUUAAUUGAUGUGAGUUAUUGGGAUCAUGAUAUAUAUAUAUAUAUAUAUAUAUAUAUAUGAAUGUUGUUAUUGAUCAAGUACAUGAUCUUUUAAUUGAAAUAUUCAUGUUAAUUGUUAUGUGGAUUAUGAUGAUGUAAUACUUACCCCCAGUGGUUUUGAUCGCCUACCUGUCUGUAUGGAUGGGUAGACGUUGUGCAGGAUUAGUUGCUCGGUGAGUUCUUGUGUUUGGUGGAUAUCGGGAGCUAUCUCCGGUAUCGGUGUUUAUAGAGUCUAGGUUGGCUCUGAUCUAGGCGUCGGUUGUCGGUUUAGAUUAUCUUUUGUUUUGGAUUAAUUGUUUAUGAUUGGAGAUUUACUCGUGUGUUGAGGUUUUGAGAUUCAUCUAUGAUUGAUGUAAUAAUUGAUUCAUGACAUGUAUAUUUGGAGUACUCUGGUUUAUAUUCCGCUACGACUGUUGAGAUUUAUAUGCAUGCAUGUUGAGUUUGAAUUUUAAAUGAUGACGUAACCUCUAUUUCUUAAAUAAAUAUAUUAUUCGCAUGUUUUAUUGCUUUAAUAGAAAUAGGAGUGUUACAACCGGCGCCGCUGCCGACUCUCCUCUCCCUCCAUCCACCGGCACGCUAUCCCUAUUGGCCAUUCUGCUCGACAUCACCUCACCCAAAUCACUCUAAGUCAAAUUUUGUCUCCACCACCGCUUCAAACUGCCAAAGCGCUGCCGCUUUAUCAUUCAUGGUUGUUUCACAAUGGUGUUUUUAUAGCUCCCAAACCUGAAAACAACUUCAAGUGGUAUUUUUAUUUUUCAGAACAAAAUUUGACAGUAUUAAUAAGUGAUAAUAAUAUGUAAGUUCCUUAAAACUUUUCCUAAUUGAAUUAUAUUCAUCUGUCCUAAGAUGAAUCUUAUAAAAAAACUUUUUUUUAGAUGAGGUUAUGUUUUUGCAGUCCAGUGAGACAUUUAUAACUGAUUUGUAAAACAAUGGUGUUUCACGGUGGAAUUUCACUUCAAUCCCUCUUGUGAGUUAAUUGAUAAUUGAUUGUACCAGAUAUGGUUACGGUAAAGCAUAUACUAUAUGAUUUGUUGUCAUAUAUACUUUGACACAAGCAGUAGUGACAAUUAUUAUAAAUUAAUGUUAUAAUAUAAAUUAUGGUCUAUUGUAUUAAGCACUGAUUAGUUAAUGAAUAUAUGUGAUUGGACUAUUCUUUCUAAAUGGACCGUGAUGGGUUGGACCAUUUAGCUAAACCCAAUGAGAGGUCCCUGCCCUCAGCCGUUUAGCUAUUUAAACAUCAUCGCAUCAGAAGGUUAAACUAUUGCAAACACUCUGCUGCUAAACGGAAUGAGGUAGUCAUCCCUCUCAUCCUUCUUAUAGUUAUCCUUCAUCAACCUAAUUUAAAAGUACACAAUUUCUUUAUUCAUUCUUUAUUAUUGAUGAUAUGUCAUAACUUGUAUCUAGUGAUCCAUGGCUAAACACUAAAACUUUUAUCAGAGGUAACGUGGAGUAGAAGGUGUAACACCCUACUUCUAUUAAAGCAAUUAAACAUGCGAAUAAUACAUUUAUUUAAGAAAUAGAGGCUACGCCACAUUCAAAAUUCAAAAAUCAAUAAACAUGUAUAUAAACCUCAAUAGUCGCAGCGGAAUAUAAACCAGAGUAAAUCCAAGUAUACAUGUUAUGAAUCAAUAAAUUACAUCAACAUAGAUACAUCUCAAAAAUCCCAACAAACGGGUAAUCUCCAAACAUCACAAAAUCCAAAGUAAAAGAUAAUCUAGACUGACACAACAAAGCCUAGAUCAGAGCCGACUAAACAUCUAAACACCGAUAUCGGAGAAAGCUCCAGAUAUCCACCAAGCACAAGAACUCACCAAGCAACUAAACCUGCACAACGUCUACCCAUCCAUACAGAUAGGCAGGCGGUCCAUAACAGAUCCACUGGGGGUAAGUAUUACAUUAUCAUAAUCCAAAUAACAGUUAACAUGGAUAUUUCAAUUUAAACAUCAUGCACUUGAUCAAUAAUAAUUACACAUUAAUACUUACAUCACACCCCGAUAUCUCACAUAAAUAUUCAUCAAUCAUAUGAACGAUUAUCAAUUUACAAUUAUUCAUUCACAAUCACCAAUCACAUUUAUCAUGAAUAAUCAUUAAUCACAUUUCAUGAACAAUCACCAAUUACUUGUAUCAUGAAUAAUCACUAAUCACAUUUCAUGAAAAAUCACCAAUUACAUGUAUCAUGACUAAUAAUUAAUUCACAGUUAUUCAUACACAAUCACCAAUCAUAUACAUAUCAUGAACAAUCACCGAUCAUAUACAUCAUGAACAAUCACCAAUCAUAAGCCAUGAACAAUCAUUAAUCAUAUUUCAUGAACAAUCACCAUUCACAUGUAUCAGGAACAAAUAUCAAUUCACAAAUAUUCAUUCACAAUCAUCAAUCACAAACAUCAUCAAUAAUCAUUCAUCUCAUUUCAUCACCAAUCACAUAUUUCACAUAGGACUCAUGCUAUGAUAUGCACUUAUUGACACAUAAAUGCAUGUGGUACCAAAUCUCAACAAGGUCGUCACCUUUCGAUGCCACUUGCACAUCGAAUGUAAGGGCUCACACCUGCCUUACAAUAAUCUCGAAGUAAAAGAGUCAUCCCUUUUACAGCAACAACGACUAUGAUGCAUGGACAUGUAUAAGGACUCAAUAAUGCGACAACAAUUCACAAUCUCAACUCAAUAUAUAGGACAACACCCAAUUAUAUUGAUUAUCUCCACAACAUUGCAUUAUCAAGAAAACAUGCUCAUACACAAUUAAAUCAUAGUAUUCACCAUCACACUUCAACAUGAUUAUCAAUAAUCAACAAUGUCAUUCAACAUCAACUAUAUCAUAUAGUUUCACCAUUUCAAGCAUUUCUCAUAUUCCAAGUAAGAGAACAUACAACAUCUCAUGACAAACAUCAUAUCCAACAUAUAAUCAUUCAACAUCAACUAUCACAUAUAGCUCACCAAUUCAAGCAUUCUCAUAUUCCAAGUAAGAUAGCAUAUACAUCUCAUGAUAAACAUCAUAUUCAAUACAAUCAUUCAUUCAUACAACUUCACUUAGUCAUACAAGAAUAAUCUCAAUAACUCACAAGACAAUUUGCUAAAGAAACAUUUCCGACAAAAUCCAAAUCAUGUGGCAAACGGCCAACAUUGAUAAUUUUCAAAGUUAGGCAACUUAUUCAAAUUUGAAAUCCUAAAAUUCAAUCUUAAUCAAUCAUGUAGCCAAGGACUUAAGCCACUUACAAACUAUUAGAAAUUAGUUCAAAGGAUAGCUCAAGUUCGUAUGAGAAAAACCAAGACAAAACGACAUUUAGCUCAAAACUCGUUUUCACCGAUUCUACUCCGCCCAAAAUAUUUUCUUAAAACAUCAACACAUUCACAUUCCCAAAUACAUAAAUGCAUACUCAAUUAUUCACUCUAAGUACUUCAUUAAACCCAAUAUCAAGUUUGGAAAAGUUCCACGGCUCAAAGAAAAAGUUAUGAUAAGUUUUCACAAAAAUCCACAUGACCCAUGUGUAGUAAUUUAAUCAUAUCUCAAGUUCUAAAAAUCAUUUGGACGUCAAACCAAAGCCAUUAGAAAGCUAACUUAAUUAUCUACAACUUUCAUGUUUACACGAAAAACCAAUUCAACACGGAAACAGGUGAAAAAUGUGAAUGUUUUCCAGAUUUGCUUGACAGAAAAUCGGUGGCCGAUUUUGACAAAUCGGUGGCCGAUUUUCGUCGAACCAAAACUGGAAAAUAAGCUCAGAAAUCGGUGGCCGAUUUUGGCAAAUCGGUGGCCGAUUUUGGGCUUCACAAUAGUUCAAAAAUCCGCUUAACAAUGCGUUUUUCACUCAAAAAAAUCACUCUUAAAUCACUAGAUUCAAAUACAAGACUCCCAAAUUAAAUCAAACAUUACCCAUAAUCAUAACACUCGUAAAUAACACUUAUACCACUUCAAAUCAUCAAGUUCACAUCCAAAAUCAUAAUCAACCCAUUUUCACCAAGACACCAACAACAAUCCAUUUCUCAACAACAAAUCAUGAAUCAUGCAAACCCAAGCCAUAUAUCAUCAUCAACAAUAUGACUAAACAAACAACAACAACCAUUGAUCAUGAAACAUAUCACAAUUCAUCAACAACCAUGCAUAAUUCACCAAUUGAGCAUAAUUUACAAACUACCCAUUUUCAUACAUCAUGAACUUGCAAUUUCAUCAUCAACAAUUCAUUUAACAUCAAAUUAACAUAUUCAAACAUAUCUCUACAACAUAAGCACGAAUUUCAAAGAUUGGGUUCAUGAUAAUCACUUAUUCUCAUAAUCAAUUAUGCAUAGAACAAGAGAAAAAGAAUUAACUAAAUGAUUAUGAUAAAAACUAACCCCCUUACCUUUGAAGAAGAUUAACCCUAACCUCUGCUUCAAUUCAGCUCCUAGGUCACCCCACUUGAUUCCUCAAGCUUUCCCUUCAACACUCUUGUUCUUCUCUUCACCUCUUUCUCUCUCUACCUCCCCCCUCUCUCUAGGAAAAUGUUUUGUGAAGUGAAUGAAUGAUAAUUCUAUGACAACCCUAGUGUUAUCUCCACUAAUGGGCUUAACUUAGUUUCUAGUGGGCUUAACCCAUUUCUAUUCAAACCAAAAAUAUUAUUACACUCCAAACGAUAUUUUAAUUAAUAACGGUAAAAUGUCACUAACGGUAAAAACUAAUCACUACACUAGUAACUUAGUAAAAUAAGGGUUCUCACUAAUUAUUAAAAUAAUUCUCACCAAAAUUACCAUUUUACCCUUACCCGUCAAAUGACUAAAAUACCCUUCUAAUACGGUAAUCCACGUAAUUGCACCCGAUGACAAUUAAAUACACACAAGCACAAAUAAUCGCUCACAAACACAUAAUAAAAGUAAUUAAAAUAAAUCUAGCUAAAAAUCGGGCUAUUACAGAAGGGGAGGAUGCCGCCUCUGUAUGGACUGUAAGGGGCAGUUGCGGCGGCGUCGGAGAGAGGGAGAGACGGGGCAGUGAUGAUGGUCAGAGGAAGAAGAAGAAAGGUCGUGUGAAGUUUGAACUAGAAGAGUAAGUGCGUGUGGCUUCUUUUUUUAUUAAACAAUUGCUUUUUCCAAACCUAUUAAUCCCAAUUCUUGCUUUUAUUUUUGCCACAUGUCACCCAUAUAAGAGUUGGGGUAAAUGGAGGUUUCAUAAAUGGAGGGAAGAUGAACUCCAUAUACACACAAUAGAGAAAGAGAGAACAUGAAUAACAAAGACGGCUAAGGUUUCAUAAAAAUCAAUAGCUUAACAUUACAAAAAUGUUAUAAGAGAGUAUAUAAUAAAACUUAAUGACUCUAACUUACUAAUAUAAAUAGCCAAUAAUUAAGCCCAAUACUUUAUUAUCUAAGUUCUUUCCCCUCAAUUACUUCAUUAUAUAACAUGAUAACCAUGAUUACUCUUUUAUUUGAAGAAUAAAAAGUACAUAAUUUCAUGCUUAUAUUAUAUAAAUAAUCUCGUCACGCAUAUGCUUUUAGAAAUUCAUCCAUGCGUGUGUAUUGCACCUCUGGAUAAAGCUUUGAUGCUUCUUCUCCAUCCUCCAGUUCAAAAUUUGUCAAACACCCUUCAAAGAAAAUAUGAUAGAAAUGCCCCACUGCUACUUGGCCUGCAAGGUCCAAACCUGAAUUCCACACCAAUCAAGAGUCUAUUAUAAAUAUUUCUUAAUAUGAAUUAAUAAAGAAAAUUAGUUAUUUAUUAAAAGAUGUGUUUUACCUUUCAUGGAAGAAAGAAAAUCUUGUUCGGAUAUGGUAGACUUCUCAAGUUGCUUUCCAAUAAGUUUCUCCCAUUUCUCAAUUAGCUCUCUUUGAGUGAGGAUGUUUUCUGGUGGCCUUAUAUAUAUUGUCUUGUUCAAUGUUCGAGGAUCAUCAAUUGUCUUAAUUGUGUAUGUUGCAACAUCAUCUUCAUCCAUAUAAACAACUGCCACAAACAUGUAUACCUCAUAUAUCUUAUUGUGUAAAUUCUAAGAUUAAUAUUUGUGUGUUCUAGCAGACAUUAGCAAAAAAAAAUGUUAACUAAUUUUUCUAGGAUUUUACGUACCCUUGACAUUACCGUCGCCAUAGAGAACAACCUUGUCUCGUGGUGGAAAGAGUGUUCCCAUUUGAGAGAGGUUGCCGGCAAAGUAGCCCGCGAAACAGUUGGCGGAGAUGUAAGUGAAAGGGAUUUUGGCAUCCUCAAUUGCUUUCCUUAUAGCCAUUUUAUCAUCAAAUGUGACUCUUCCUGGUUCAAGUGCAUGUCCCAUGAGAGCUGGGUCCAUCCC
rnacentral:lncRNA from 1 species